GCUUUUAGGAGAAACUAAAGAUCUGACAGAGAAAUAUGAGAAGAUUGAAGAAGAGCUGCAGAAAACCAAAGAAGAACUGAAGAACAAGACUGAAGAGAUGGAGAAACAUGUAGAGACACACACAUAAACACUGUAAUCACCACAACUGUGAUUUUGCUCCAUCUACUGGUGAAAUGAUAUAACUGCAGGUUUUCUCCUACAUGCUACAUUUUCAAAUCAACACCUCCGUGAUUGAAAAGGAAGUAGAACAUUUUUGUCAUAUUUUUCUGCUCUCUACUUGAACAAAUAACAGAGAGGAUGGCCUGAUGUCACAUUCAGUUGAUUUUCAAUAGCCUGCCACAACAACACUUUGAUUAUAACAACAACAGCUGUUGGUGAAUUCAAUAUUUUCACACAAUAGUCAGGGGAACUUGGUGUUUAAACAUGAUAUAAUUUGAACAUAGUAUCUAAAAUUCUUACAAAGAUAAGAUUUGAUCAGAGACAAAAACCUUCACAUAUUUGACUCUAAUCUCAGAGAGACUGAGUUCUCUGUUAUUAAUGAACUACUAGUGGAGUUUGACAAACACAACUUUGCUCCAUCUACAGGUGAAAUUAUAGAACUACAGGAAUAAGCAGCAUUUAAAAUUCACACAGUAGAUACUAGAGAAUAUUUUCUGGACAAGUUAAAGUCUGACUGUUAAAAAUCUGGAUUUCACCUCCUUUUUAAUCAGGUCAAUGAACUAAAAGAGGAGAAGAAGAAACUGCAGGAGGAGAUGGAGACCAGAAACAAAGAGAUGGAGACCAGAAACAAAGAGCUGGAGGAGAUAAAAGAUGAGCUGACAGAGAAAUAUGAGAAGAUUGAAGAAGAGCUGCAGAAAACCAAAGAAGAACUGAAGAACAAGACUGAAGAGAUGGAGAAACAUGUAGAGACACACACAUGAACACUAUCAUUGUGUUAUUGAGGACUGACCUCUGAUCAACACAACUGUGACUUUGCUCCAUCUGCUGGUGAAAUGAUGCAACUGCAGGUUUUCUCCUCUCAGGUCAUUGAACUAAAGGAGGAGAAGAAGAAGCUGCAGGAGGAGCUUGAGACCAGAAACAAAGAGCUGGAGACCAGAAACAAAGAGAUGGAGGAGAUAAAAGAUGAGGUGAAGAACAAGCUCAUAGACAUGGAGAGAGAAGUAGUUUAUUCCAGAAAUAAAUUUUUAUAUGAAUUCAUCCUUCAGGUUAAAAGUCAUAUGUGUUGUUUAGUCUGACAUGAAGAAACAGAAUCAGUGAUGAUAAAAUCUUUGUAUUUGGCUUUAAUAAAUUCUUCCAGUUGGAGAAAAACAAACCUGCUGCUUCCAAGUCUAUCAGGUUUCCUUUGGUAAGUGAUCACAUUAUAAGAACUAUGAUACAAUCUGUUUGUCCAUCAUUUAUAAUCUUUACUGAUCUCUCUUCAUUCUUCUCAGUCGUCUAGAUUCAAGAAGAAGAAGGAGGAGCCCAAAGAAGAGAAGAAGAACGAUGAGUUAAUGAAGCAGAUCAACCAAGAAGAGGAACAACAACAAGAAAAAACUCAAAAUGUCAAAGACCAGCUGGAAACCAACAACACAGAGUCAGAGAGAAUCAAACCUGAACAAACACAGAACAGCAGCAGCUCAGACAGUCAGGAGACGUUAAAAGACAUCGAUGUGGUGGUUAAUGACAAGGACUACUAUAUCUUUCUGAGAAACAUCUCUGAUCAGGACAAACCACUGGGAGGACGUCAGUUAAAAGUCCAGAUCAACAAUAGUGAACCCAUCACAUACACAUUUGAUCCAUCAAUGAAACUCAAGGCCGGAGAGGAAGUUUAUUUAUACGGUCCAGGCUAUGACGAGAGUUUUGCUGGCCCUGGUGACCUGGUGUGGAAGGACCUGAAGUCCUGGAAGUCUGGAGACAGAGUCCAGGUCUCUCUGCAGUGAAAUAGUUCCCAGUUGAACUCCUUCAAUAAAGUUCAGUAAUCCAGCAAACAGCAACAUUAUAGAUGAGAAACAGCACGAAUCAGAUCUUCCAGUAGGAACCACACACUGCAGAGAAAGUCUGUGGAAACACUUGGCUCGAUUUUAUUGGAUUAGUCAAGUUUGAUGUGAACGUUGGUUUGUUUAAAGACUUUUACAGGAUGAUGUCAGUGUUUUAUGUUGUUAAAAUCUGACAGAUUGAUUGUAAAUGUUAAUAUAAUAAUGAGAUUUAUGAUAAUUUAUGAAACACAUGCUGAUGUUAAUUUUGACAUUAAGCUUGAAAAGCUUAGAUGUGAUUACAGUUUAAAAAAUAAAGAAUAAUAAAA